rnacentral:rRNA from 1 species
CGGGAGAGGUUAGAGGUACUCCCAGGGUAGAGGUGAAAUUCUGUAAUCCUGGGAGGACCGCCUGUUGCGAAGGCGUCUAACUGGAACGGUUCUGACGGUGAGGGACGAAAGUUAGGGGCGCGAACCGGAUUAGAUACCCGGGUAGUCCUAACUGUAAACGAUGCGGACUUGGUGUUGGGGUGGCUUUGAGCUGCUCCAGUGCCGAAGGGAAGCUGUUAAGUCCGCCGCCUGGGAAGUACGGUCGCAAGACUGAAACUUAAGGAAUUGGCGGGGGAGCACCACAACGCGUGGAGCCUGCCGGUUUAAUUGGAUUCAACGCCGGACAUCUCACCAGAGGCGACAGCUGUAUGAUAGCCAGGUUGAUGACUUUGCUUGACUAGCUGAGUGGAGGUGCAUGG